rnacentral:rRNA from 1 species
AUUGAACGCUGGCGGCAUGCUUUACACAUGCAAGUCGAGCGGUAACAGGCCUUCGGGUGCUGACGAGUGGCGAACGGGUGAGUAAUGCAUCGGAACGUACCCAGAGGUGGGGGAUAACGCAGCGAAAGCUGUGCUAAUACCGCAUGUGAUCUGAGGAUGAAAGCGGGGGACCGAGCAGCAAUGUUUGGCCUCGCGCCUUUGGAGCGGCCGAUGUCGGAUUAGCUAGUUGGUGGGGUAAAGGCCUACCCAGGCGACGAUCCGUAGCUGGUCUGAGAGGACGACCAGCCACACUGGGACUGAGACACGGCCCAGACUCCUACGGGAGGCAGCAGUGGGGAAUUUUGGACAAGGGGCGCAAGCCUGAUCCAGCAAUGCCGCGUGGGGGAAGAAGGCCUUCGGGUUGUAAACCGCUGUUGGCAGGAACGAAACGGUGUCCGCUAAUACCGGGCGCUAAUGACGGUACCUGAAGAAUAAGCACCGGCUAACUACGUG